AAUGCUCUCAAGAAGAACUCACUGGCAGAAGCUUCCCUAGAAGCUGAGAAAUGCUACAGCAGGGAGCGGCAGGAACAGAAACUGCAGUUGCAGAAAGAACUGGACAGGUCUAAAGCUAAGUCUCCAAGUUGUAACGGCCCAGCUGGAAGCCAGAGUCCAGCAACAAGCCAAGGCCAUUGAAGCUCUUGAGAAAGACCUGCAAGCCUCUGCCCUACCACUGCUGAACAGCCACCAUUGUCAGCGAUGAGCAGAUGCCGAAGCAAAGGAACCACCAGUAACAGAAUCAUAGAAUGGUUUCCUCCGGAAAGGACCUGAAGAUCAACAAGUUCCAGUGCUUUACCACCUUCACAAUAAAGAACAUCUUCUUCAUAUCUGACUUGAACUUCUGCUGGUUUAGCUUAAAUCCGUUACCCCUUGUCCUAUCACUACAGUCCCUGAUGAAGAGUUGCUCCUCACCAUCCUUGUAAGCCCCAUUCAGAUACUGGAAGGCUGCUUUGAGGUCACCAUGCAGCUUCUCCAGGCUGAAGAGCCCCAACCUUCUGAGCCUGUCUUCAUACGGGAGGUGCUCCAGCUCCCUGAUGGGCCUCCUGGCCUCCUCUCAACUUCCUCCAACAGCUCCAUGUCCUUCUGUUGAGGACACCUGAACUGCAGAGUACUGCAAGUGGGUUCUCACUUAGAGGAGCAGAAGAUGGUGGUCACAGGUAGCUGAAGGAAGCCUGGAAACCUUUGCCUUCCACCUUGUGCAGCCACUAGCAUCUAGUUCAAAGUGUUGUGUUACAGCUUGAUAUCUAAUUAACAGAGUCAUCUAGUAUGUGUCUUCAUUUUGCUGCACAACAGGAGCACUUAGGACCUAGCACCUUUGGAGAAUCAGUCCUGCGGAGGGCCCCAAGAAGGAGCACACAUCUGUAUCCUUUUGCUCUUGGGAAGCUUGAUUGUGCUCAGAUCAGGGACUAGCACUGAGCAACUGCUAAUAACCAGUUACCAGACUCUUCCUGCUUUUUUACAGCAAUCUUGCUGGUAGUAUGGGCAGAAGGUGGUGCGUGAGCUGGAAGCCACAGAAGCUUUGUAGAUCCCAUGAGGAUCUGGCAGAUUUACAGCCCACUGAGGGGAAAGGUGUGAAGAAGUGGGCACAAGCUGGAGCAGGGGGAAUCCCAUUUCAACCUAAAGAAAAACUUUUCCUCUGCUGACAAGGGAAGGAACAUCACGGGACUGAUAACAACUAAGGAGACAGUAAGUGAGACCAACGAUGCUAGUGUUCAAGACAGCAGCCUGGCACCCACUGUGGAGUGAGACUGGAACAGAACAGAAGCAAGGACAUACAAACUGCUAACUCGGCACUAGGAUCUUGCAAGCGUGUGCAAGCACUGUGGUCAUUCAGUUAACACUGAUUAUCAGCGACCACCAGAGACCCCACUCAGCAAGAAAGCAUAUGCAUAAUCAGAACGUAAAUAUUAUAAUUGGUUCCUGAAAGGCUAUGAAUACACAUGAGUAUGCUAAAUAUACAACUGCUGCUGGCAUGUAACGGGUGUGCUCACCUUUGCAAAACGAUGCGCGUGCACGCCCAGCACUGCAAUAAAA